UACAGCUACAUCAGGUUGAAACUACCAGUUUCCCUACUAUCACUGAAGUGAAGCAAUGUUGAGCCUGGUCAGUACCUAGAUGAGUGACCCCUUGGAAAUAACAGGUGCUAUA